GUCUUUCUCCCAAAGCACUUUCCCUACUUCCUGUGCUCUUGCAGAGACGCGCGCGUCGGGGUUUAACGCGUUUCUGGGCCGCCGUAAGCCCGGCCUAGGGGCAGCUUUGACUCGAGAGCCGGCUACAGGCGCAUGGAAGGUUCCCUGGAACGGGAGGCGCCAGCGGCGGCGCUGGCCGCCGUGCUAAAGCACAGCUCGACGUUGCCGCCCGAAAGCACCCAGGUCCGGGGCUACGACUUCAACCGCGGUGUGAAUUACCGCGCACUGCUGGAGGCCUUCGGCACCACCGGCUUCCAGGCAACCAACUUCGGGCGCGCUGUACAGCAAGUCAAUGCCAUGAUCGAGAAGAAGCUGGAACCGCUGUCACAGGAUGAAGACCAGCACGCGGACCUGACCCAGAGCCGCCGCCCACUUACCAGCUGCACCAUUUUCCUGGGAUAUACAUCCAACCUCAUCAGUUCAGGCAUCCGUGAGACCAUUCGCUACCUUGUGCAGCACAACAUGGUGGACGUAUUGGUGACCACAGCUGGCGGCGUGGAGGAAGACCUCAUCAAGUGCCUGGCGCCCACAUACUUGGGCGAGUUUAGCCUCAGGGGGAAGGAGCUCCGGGAGAACGGGAUCAAUAGGAUCGGAAACCUGCUGGUGCCCAAUGACAAUUACUGCAAGUUUGAGGACUGGCUGAUGCCCAUUCUGGACCAGAUGGUGAUGGAGCAGAACACAGAGGGUGUAAAGUGGACGCCUUCUAAGAUGAUCGCCCGGCUCGGCAAGGAGAUCAACAACCCAGAGUCAGUGUAUUACUGGGCCCAGAAGAACCACAUCCCUGUGUUUAGUCCCGCACUUACAGACGGCUCGCUGGGCGACAUGAUCUUCUUCCAUUCCUACAAGAACCCGGGCCUGGUCCUGGACAUCGUUGAGGACCUGAGGCUCAUCAACACACAGGCCAUCUUUGCCAAGUGCACUGGGAUGAUCAUUCUGGGCGGGGGCGUGGUCAAGCACCACAUUGCCAAUGCCAACCUCAUGCGGAACGGGGCCGACUACGCUGUUUACAUCAACACAGCCCAGGAGUUUGAUGGCUCUGACUCAGGUGCCCGACCAGACGAGGCUGUCUCCUGGGGCAAGAUCCGGGUGGAUGCACAGCCUGUCAAGGUCUAUGCUGACGCCUCCCUGGUCUUCCCCCUGCUUGUGGCUGAAACCUUUGCCCAGAAGAUGGAUGCCUUCAUGCAUGAGAAGAACGAGGACUGAGCGGCUGCGGUCCCAGGAAGGAGCCGCAAUGUGGAGUCCAGGCUGGACACCAGGGUGCACUGCCCAUCCCGGCUGAAGCAGGUGCAGGCUGGAGUGCAAUGGCAUGAUCUUGGCUCACCGGAACCUCUGCCUCCCGGAUUCAAGAGAUUCUCCUUCCUCAGCCUCCCGAGUAGAUGGGAAUACAGGCAUGCACCACCACGCCCUGCUAAUUUUGUAUUUUUAGUAGAGACGGGGUUUCUCCAUGUUGGUCAGGCUGCUCUCGAACUCCCAACCUCAGGUGAUCCGCCCACCUCAGGCUUCCAAAGUGCUGGGAUUACAGGUGUGAGCCACCCCACCUGGCCCAAUUCCCCCUUUUCCUGCUCCUCCUCCUCAGUACUCAGUCCCACCACUUUCCCCACUACCCAGCACCAGCAUCUAGACUGUUCUGGUCUCCCUGCACCCCCACAGCCACCAGAGGGAGCACUUUUCGAAGUACAGUUGACCCAUGAACAACACGGUUUGAACUGAACGUGUCCACUUAUAUGUGGAUUUUCUUCUGCCUCUAUCAGCCGUGAGACACCAAGAUCAAUCCCUCCUCUUCCUCCUCCUCUGCUUUCUCAACAUGAAGAUCUUUAUGACGAUCUCUUCACUUCCACUUAAUGAAUAGAAAAUAUAUUUUUUCCGCCAGGCGCGGUGGCUCGCGCCUGUGAUUUCAGCACUUUGGGAGGCUGAGGCAGGUGGAUCACGAGGUCAAGAGAUGGAGACCCUCCUGGCCAACAUGGCGAAACCCCGUCUCUACUAAAAAUACAAAAAUUAGCUGGGCGUGGUGGCACGCGACUGUAGUCCCAGCUACUCGGGAGGCUGAGGCAGGAGAAUCGCCUAAACCCAGAAGUUGGAGGUUGCAGUGAGCUGAGAUCACGUCACUGCACUCCAGCCUGGCGACAGAGCGAGACUGCGUCUCAAAAAAAAAAAAAAAAAAUUCUUCCUUAUGAUUAUUUUUAUGUAUUAUUUAUUUAUUUAUUUAAUUUAUUUACUUAUUUUGAGACGGAGUCUUGCUCUAUCGCCCAGGCUGGAGUGUAGUGGCGCGAUGUCGGCUCACAGCAAGCUCUGCCUCCCGGGUUCACUCCAUUCUCCUGCCUCAGCCUCCUGAGUAGCUGGGACUACAGGCGCCUGCCACUAUGCCCGGCUAAUUUUUUGUAUUUUUAGUAGAGACGGGAUUUCACCGUGUUAGCCAGAAUGAUCUCGAUCUCCUGACCUCAUGAUCCGCCUGCCUCUGCCUCCCAAAGUGCUGGGAUUACAGGCAUGAGCCACAGCGCCUGACCUAUUUUUAUUUAUUUUAAAAAAUCAUUUUAUUUUAUCUUUUUUUUUUUGAGAUGGAGUCUCACUUUGUCGCCCAGGCUGGAGUGCAGUGGCACAAUCUCGGCUCACUGCAACCUCCAACUCCCGGGUUCAGGCGAUUCUCCUGCCUCCACCUCCCGAGUGGCUGGGAUUACAGGCUCCCGUCACCACACCUGGCUAAUUUUUGCAUUUUUAGUAGAGACGGGGUUUCACCAUGUUGGCCAGGCUGAUCUCAAACUCCUGACCUCAAGUGAUCUGCCCACCUUGGCCUCCCAAAGUGCUGGGAUUACAGGUGUGAGCCACCGUGCCCAGCCAGAUGAUUAUUAUUUUUUAGACAGUCUUACUUUCACCCAGCAUGGAGUGCAGUGGUGCCUCGAACUCUUGGACUCAAGUGAUCCUUCCACCUCAGCCUCCCAAGUAGCUGGGACUACAGCUGUGUGCCACUGUGCCCAGCUGAGAGUAGGUUUUAAUCUGAGCAUGGGGGCAGCUAUGAUUCCCAGUAGCACCUGGGGUGAGACCAGGUCAUGGCUCCACUCACCCUGCCAGGACCUCGUGGUCUGACACCUUCACACUGGAUACGCCAUCUCUGGCCUCAUCCAGCGUCUGCACUGGCUCAGGCCUCCGUGAGCGGCAAUCCCAACAGCGGAUACUGGAAUCAAUAGAGCCUGUGAGGCCAGCAUGAUGGUGAGGUCAGGUUUGGAGGGGGAGGGCAGCACCCUGGGCCCCCGUGCUUAGGCCCCAGACUCACCGGACAGGAUAACUGUGGCCUCUUCAUUAAACUGCACCGUGUUCACCUUCUGAGAAAGUUAUUGCCACUCAGAGGAGGCUGGACUUUGGAGGAUUGGGAUAAAGGCAGGGUUCCCAGUGUCGGUUAAA